ACGGCAUGGUGUGGGCAUUUAUGGAUUAGGUCUUUGAGCCUCUCCCAACUCUCGUGGAACAUUUCUCCAUUUAUUUGAAAAAAAUUGGUAAUGACUUUUCUAAUCUA